rnacentral:rRNA from 1 species
UACGGAGGGUCCGAGCGUUAAUCGGAAUUACUGGGCGUAAAGCGCGCGUAGGCGGUUUGUUAAGUCGGAUGUGAAAGCCCAGGGCUCAACCUUGGAAUUGCAUUCGAUACUGGCUUACUAGAGUACAAUAGAGGGUGGUAGAAUUUCUUGUGUAGCAGUGAAAUGCGUAGAUAUAAGAAGGAAUACCAGUGGCGAAGGCGGCCACCUGGAUUGAUACUGACGCUGAGGUGCGAAAGCGUGGGGAGCGAACGGG